rnacentral:lncRNA from 1 species
CCAGCCUCUUCCCACUCGCUCACAAACGCUCCCGUAUUUCCUCCCGGCCCCAAGAGAAUGGUUCCGAGCUGUGCGGUAGGGCAGGGCCGCCAGGGACCGGGCCUGCGGGGCUCCCGGGCCUUUCAAAGCCUCUUGGAAGCUGGGCUGCGGCGCAGGGGCGGCCCGAGGCGCUGGGGCCCGGGCCAGGAGAAGGGGACGGGACGGGCCUGCCUGUGGUGCCUAGAAAUCAAAGCAGCCAACCUUGGGCUUUUUCUUCCCCUCACACUGAGGCACUUUUAUUGGCGAGAUGAAGGGAGGCAGAGCGGGCCUACAGUCCUCGCUUUGCUUUGGGAGGUUAAUGACCCAGUUAGCAGCUCUUGGCUGCGUUUCCGACAUUUUGCAGACAUCAAGCUCUGCGCCUCUGCCAAGUACAUUCUGUUCCCUGGAGCUCAUCCAGUGCAUCUCAGAUUACUAUGUAAUGCGACGAAGAGGGAGAGGUGGCUGGGCGGGGCGGAGAGCGGGCGGAGAGCGGGCGGGGGUGCGGGCUGCGGGCCGGCAGGCGGGGAGGGGGAUGCCGCCCUAAAUACAGCCGCCCUCCUGCGAGCGCAUCCCUGCAGGUGCUUAUUUAUGGCACCGGAGCGAACCCGAAGUGGGGGUUCGCCGGGCCCUGUCGUCCAGGAAUCCUGCGGGGUGGUGCGCCGAGCUCGGCCCAGACCCGGCCGGGACAGAGCGUGGGGGCGGGGAGGGCCGGAGAGGAGAGGGAGCUGGAAUUCGAGGGGCGGGGCUAGCGUGUCUUGGGGCGGGGUUAUGGGCUCUCGGCCCCGCCCCCAGGCCAUCUCCUCCAGUCCUCUAGGAGCUGCAGCCUGCGCGCUAAUUAUAGACGUGAAUGGAAAGCGGCGGCUUUUGAAUGAUUGCAUUGCUCGCGCUGCCUUUGGAGGCUGAGGAGCAGAUGGAGAAACUGAGGCUGGGGUAGCUCCUGGGGCAGGCCCUGGCCCAUGUGUGAGUCGUUGCAGCGAAGCUCAGAUCUCCGGAGGGACAGCCUCUCCAUUUGCCUUACCAGAAAAAAUGAGACAUGAAGAAAAUAAAGGAAAAUGUUACCAUCUGUUAAUCUAAUGAGCGGACCAUCACAUUUGUUAUAUCCUUUUUGUAUGAUUAUAUAUUUAAUAUUUUAAAAUAAAUAUAUAAAAUAGUGAAUGGACUUAAAAUCUAAUAUAUUUUAUUAGCAUUGAGUUUUUGUAGAAAAUCUGGGGAUUUUAUGGCUAAUAAUAGAGGAAAAUGAUGAAUUUUAAACGUUAUGGUGUUGGAUACCUGAUGUGAUACCUCUCAAGUGUAACAACAGGUCUCAUCCCAGUGAGAAUCGUAGAAGAUCUUUGCAGUAGGUUUGUAUACUGACAGCCUAUACGUGUGCCCUGGGAGGAGCGUGUCUGGAUUCUUCACACCAUUUAGCCACCAUUCCAAAACUUGGCUAGCCAAAAAAUAACAUUUGAAGAUAGG